AGUGAAGAGGGAAGAGCUCAAAUUUAGAAUCUGGCAGUAUUUUGCUGUCCGAGUUGUAAUCUAGAGAAGUGCUGCCCGUGCUGGACCAUGUACAAGUCUCCUGGAAUGGAGCGUCAUAGAGGGUGAGAAUCCCGUCUUUGACAUGGACUCCCAGUGCAUUUGUGGUGUGCUCUCAAAGAGUCGAGUUGUUUGGGAAUGCAGCUCUAAAUGGGUGGUAAACUCCAUCUAAAGCUAAAUAUUGGCGAGAGACCGAUAGCGAACAAGUACCGUGAGGGAAAGAUGAAAAGAACUUUGGAAAGAGAGUUAAACAGUAUGUGAAAUUGUUGAAAGGGAAACGCUUAAAGUCAGUCAUGUGUCAGCCAGGGAUCAACCUAGUAUUGCUUGCUGGGUGUACUUCCUGAUCUGAUGGGCCAACAUCAGUUUCGACUGCUGGAGAAGGGUAGAGGGGAAUGUGGCACCUUUUUUGGUGUGUUAUAGCUCUCUGUCAGAUGCAGUGGUCAGGACUGAGGAAGGCAGCAUGCCCACAAAGGGCCGGGUUUCGACCACGUUCAUGCUGAGGAUGUUGGCAUAAUGGCUUUAAUCGACCCGUCUUGAAACACGGACCAAGGAGUCUAACAUGCCUGCAAGUGUUUGGGUGUUUAAACCCAAGUGCGGAAUGAAAGUGAAAGGUUGAGAUCCCCUGUCAUAGGGGGAGCAUCGACGCCCAGACCUGAACUUUUCAGUAAA
rnacentral:rRNA from 2 species